CUUACAUACAGCGCUCGACUGCGUCUCGCGCCGUAUUCCCGUUCGUAAUGCAAUGGACCGUUUUCAACACUUGUAACAUAAAUAACUAUUGUCAUUAUUGUUUUAUUUCAGUAUCCGAACGUCUAGCAACAAAAAAUUAUGGAACAAACUCACGCUAUUCGUGCAAGCAGAAGUUUUGCAUUUUUUGCAAAACUCUCAAAACUAAUUUAGCACGUCAUUUUGAAAUUUGUCACUCAGAAGAGGCAGAAGUAAGAAAAUUCUUAAGUUUCAAUAAAGGUAGUCCUGAACGUUGCGAAAUUAUAGCAAAUCUACGAAAAAGUGGCAAUUAUAAUUACAACAAGAGCAAUAAAGAUAAUCCCAUUCUUAUCAGACGAGUGCAAAAAGGUUCACGAGACUCUUUAGAUGCCCUAAUUGCAAAAGGAUUUUAUUCACAGAUAACACUAUCUCGUCAUUAUGCCUACUGCUGCAAAGAUCUGAAAGAUAAAAAUGCUAGUUGAUCUGUUUUAAGAGCUGCUCGUGCCAUGGUUAGUAAAAUUCAUCCGGCGGCAUGUUUGCAACUAAAAGAGAAAAUUUUGCCGCCAAUGAAACAGGAUAUAAUAUUGGAUACUGUCAAAAAAGAUAUGCUGUUAAUUUUGAUUGGCAAUUAUUUAGUCCCCAAAUAUAGAGAACACCAGGAGUAUAUGAUACGGAACAAAUUGAGGUUUCUAGCAACAUAUUUUUUAACUGUGAAAAAAAUUGAUAAUAGCAUUGACGAAUUUCGUAAGUUGUUCUACCCUCAACAUUUUGAUUUGGCACUUGAAGCAGUAAAACAGAUGGGAGAAAUUGAUAAUAAUUCAUCAGUGUACAGUAAACCAACAUCUGCAUUGACCAUAACACAUUAUCUAAAAAUUUGUUGUAAUAUUUUGCAAAGUCAUUAUAUUCGAGGAGGAGACGAUGGAAACGAACAAGCUGUUAAAAGAUUUUUUAAACUCCUGAAAACAGAAGUUCCUGGUAAAAUAAAGAAACCAGCCCAUAGAGAUCUGUAUGAAAUGAAAAGAAAAAAAAUGAUGACGAAAAGAAGUAUCAUUCCAACGACAAAAGAUGUUGAAAAUUUUAAAAGUUACAUUUUAAAAAAUGCAGCAAAAACUUUUACAAGAUUCAUGACUAAAGAAUUUUCUUUUACACACUGGAAGACUUUAGCGGAACUCACACUGAUGUAUAUCAGUGUUUAUAAUAGAAAACGAGCUGGUGAAGCCCAAAGAAUACUUGUGGAGGAUUUUUGAAAUAUACAGACUUUGCGUGAUGCAGUACUCCCAGAACUGCUCAACAAUUUAGGUGACAAUAGAAUAAAGAAGUUGAUUGCACAUACAAAUUAAUGAUCAGAGGAAAACUUCACAGAACGGUGGCAGUUAUAAUUCCCCAUUAUAUAAAGAAAUAUUUAACAUUUAUUAAUGACUAUAGAAGUCAGGCUGGAGUAUCGGACGAUAACCCUUAUAUUUUUGGCUUGCCGGGGAAAAUGGUAGGACAGCGAUACAGAACUUUAGAAACGUGUCGAAUAAUUAGAAAGUAUACAGCUAUGGCAAAAUUACAAAAUCCAUUUUCUAUAAGAACAACCCUUCUACGAAAACAGUUUGCAACAAAGACCUCAACAAUGAACCUUCAGGAUCAUCAAAAAGAAACCGUCGUUAAUUUUAUGGGUCAUCAACGAAAUAUACACGACGAGUAUUACAGGCAGCAGAUAGUUGUAGGUGAUUUAAUGAUAAAGAAAAUCUUAGAUCAAGAAAGCCAAAUGACCAUGGACGAAAUUUGUGAAUGAAAUGAAGACAAAACUAUUGAUCCAGAUAUAGAACGACCUCUUGUCACAAAUUGUUCUGUUAGGACUUGCACUGAAGACGAAAAAGUUUCUGGCUCGUUUCUGGCUGUCUAUCAGCGACUUUAUUAGGCUCUUGUAAAAAUUAUGAAUGCUUUGGUAAACUACUUACAAGUGUAGUAGUGAUGUCUGACAAGAACGCACGUGUUAUAUGUGCUGUCUGAGAUUCGGCCGAAGACGACACUAAGGCCUUAAUUAUGUGCUCUGUGUGUACCAAAAGCUUCCACGUCCGCUGCGUUAAUGUGAAUCUACGAGGUUUCCAUAAGAAGAAGAACUGGAUAUGUAACACCGCUGUUUGCCGUGAAACCUCCGAAGAUUCCGAGGAUAUGGAAUUCAAAAGUGACAUUUUCCUGGACGCAGAUGACAAAGUAGUAGAUUAUAAACUUUUCCAUUACAUUUUGAAACAGAAAGAUGAGUUAAUCCUCGAAUUAAGAGGUGUUAUCAAAUUAAUGAAGAGUCACAUUGACCUACUACACUAUAAAAACCCUGAAAACCCCGACAAAAAGGUCGGUAAGAAACCUGAUAACGAUAUCGCCAACAGCGCUGAAGGCGAACCAUCAAGAGAGACAGCAGCUAUGGUGGACACGAUUGAACACAUAAAAACGAGAAGCGACACUACAAUCAAAACAAACUCGAAAUUGUCAAAAUCGACCUUAAACAACACAAAAAAGGACGCUAAACAUCAUCAGACCCAAAAGAAAAUAAGCGGAUCCAACAAAAGCAAAGUAGGUGAUACCGUCGGCGUCACCAAAACAUCGAGCACGCCGAGACCAAAAAACGACACAUCUAACAAAAAGUGUGUUAUUGGGAUAAAUAGUGAUUCCGGUGCUUUGAAAUCAUCACCAGCAAAAGCAUAUACCUCUAUAUUAGACGACUUGCCAAAACUACUACAGCCGAUGACCUGAAGACGUAUCUUAUGAACGACUUCCCGGAAGUGAUCUGUGAACUACUUGAAAACAAACACGAAAAAAACCACGCCAGAUUCAAAGUAACCAUUAAUUUUGAAAACCUCGAAAAAAUUAACAAACCGGAAUAUUGGCCAAGCGGAGGUUUAAUAUCAAGAUUUUUUCACCCAAGGAAGCCACCGCAGCACCACAAAUGCCCUCUAUAACAAGUGAGAGGAAACGUGGCAAAUUGUCCCAGGAACGUUUAACAACUGACAAUUGGUUGAAUAUUUUCUACAUUAACAUUCAGUCAUUGAGAUCGAACACUGGCUGAAGAUGGAGGAAAUGGAGAUUCUAACAAUACUCAAAUAUAAGGUCGCUGGUAGUUUUUGCCGUAGCAACGGAUAUGGAGGAUGCGCGAUAUUGCUCCAUCAUCCGAACCAUACAGCGGUGGAAGUAGUGAUGAGUGGGACCCCGGAAAUGUUUCCCACAUUCAAAAAACCCUUGCUCCAAUGACUACAAAACGCCGUGUGUGGUUGACACCAAAAAAGUCGACAGCAAAAGUUCUGUUUAAAAACUGCAUAGAAAAAUUAACAGUACCUAGUCUGGCAGAAUGUUCAGAAGCUAUUGCUCACUCAAAAACUCUGCAAACCCGAACGGCGCAGCAAGUAAGGCAGUGGGUGGAACACUAUAUUAAAACCAAUUACAUACUUGAAAUUACACCAGAAAAGCAGCUUGUUCGUAAAGCUUUUGGCACCUACAUUGCGGAAAAAUUGUAUCCAUCAGGAUUUGAAAUAAGCGAAUUAAUUAAAAAACAUCCCAUCCUCAGAAGGCGCUCCACAGCUUCUAUAAAAAGUUUUCUGCAACAUGAAAGAUCAAAAAUGUAAUCAUUGUGUUUGCUUAUAUGUACCCGUAAUAAAUAAUUAUAAAUAAAGAU